GACGAACGGCUGGCGGCGUGGAUUAGGCAUGCAAGUCGAACGGUAGGAUACCUUCGGGUAUCUGAGAGUGGCGAACGGGUGAGUAACACGUAGGUGAUCUACCCUCAAGAUUGGGACAACCCAGGGAAACUUGGGCUAAUACCGGAUGAAAGCAGCAGUGAUGUUGUUUGAAAGGUGGCGUAAGCUGCCGUUUGGGGAUGAGCCUGCGCUCUAUUAGUUAGUUGGCGGGGUAAAGGCCCACCAAGGCGAUGAUAGAUAGGCGGCCUUAACGGGGUGGUCGCCCACACUGGGAUUGAGAUACGGCCCAGACUCCUACGGGAGGCAGCAGUCGAGAAUAGUCUACAAUGGCCGAAAGGCUGAUAGUGCGACGCCGCGUGAACGAAGAAGCCCUUCGGGGUGUAAAGUUCUUUUAUAUGUGAGCAGUGCUUUCUAUGUGAACAGCAUGGGGAGAGAGAUAUUAGCAUAUGAAUAAGCAACGGCUAACUCCGUG
rnacentral:rRNA from 1 species